rnacentral:rRNA from 1 species
GACGAACGCUGGCGGCGUGCUUAACACAUGCAAGUCGAACGCGCCUGUCCUCUGGGUUUCUGGGGGGUGGGUGAGUGGCGAACGGGUGAGUAACACGUGAGUAACCUGCCCCCUUCUUCGGGAUAACGGUCUGAAAGGGCUGCUAAUACCGGGUAUUCACUGGUCUCCGCAUGGGGUCUGGUGGAAAGGUUUUUUUCUGGUGGGGGAUGGGCUCGCGGCCUAUCAGCUUGUUGGUGGGGUGAUGGCCCACCAAGGCUUUGACGGGUAGCCGGCCUGAGAGGGUGACCGGUCACAUUGGGACUGAGAUACGGCCCAGACUCCUACGGGAGGCAGCAGUGGGGAAUAAUGCACAAUGGGCGCAAGCCUGAUGCAGCGACGCCGCGUGAGGGAUGGAGGCCUUCGGGUUGUGAACCUCUUUCGCCCGUGGUCAAGCCGCGACGUGGGUCGUGGUGAGGGUAGUGGGUAAAGAAGCGCCGGCUAACUACGUG